UGGGGAAUAUUGCACAAUGGGCGCAAGCCUGAUGCAGCCAUGCCGCGUGUAUGAAGAAGGCCUUCGGGUUGUAAAGUACUUUCAGCGGGGAGGAAGGGAGUAAAGUUAAUACCUUUACUCAUUGACGUUACCCGCAGAAGAAGCACCGGCUAACUCCGUGCCAGCAGCCGCGGUAAUACGGAGGUUGCAAGCGUUAAUCGGAAUUACUGGGCGUAAAGCGCACGCAGGCGGUCUGUCAAGUCGGAUGUGAAAUCCCCGGGCUCAACCUGGGAACUGCAUUCGAAACUGGCAGGCUAGAGUCUUGGAGAGGGGGGUAGAAUUCCAGGUGGAGCGGUGAAAUGCGUAGGGAUCUGGAGGAAUACCGGUGGCGGAGGCGGCCCCCUGGACAAAGACUGACGCUCGGGUGAGAAAGCGUGGGGAGCAAACAGG
rnacentral:rRNA from 1 species